GUGCUUGCUUCAGCAGCACAUAUACUAAAAUUAGAACAAUACAGAGAUUAGCAUGGCCCUGUGCAAAUACUUAAUAUUAAACACAGACUAAAAGAAAAAUAUA